AGACGCGUAGCUCAGCUGGUUAGAGCACCACCUUGACAUGGUGGGGGUCGAUGGUUCGAGUCCAUUCGCGUCUACCA
rnacentral:tRNA from 1 species